UCACUCAGGUUUCUCUUCAGAUCUGAGUAAAUCUUUUCUUUACUAAAGAUUUCCGUGGCUAGGAGCAAAAUGAGUUUCAACCAAUUUUUGAUGCUCUGCGUAAGGUGGGGCU
ensembl:snRNA U5 U5 spliceosomal RNA